GAAGCAGUGGACUACAACUUACUGCUGCUACUGCUCCCAAGAAUGCAGAAAACCUCAGACCAGCAGCACCAAAUGAGACCAGUAUCACUCUGCAGUGGAGUAAAGUCAACAACAAUGUUAGCUUUGUUCUCCAGUUUAAUGGUACAGAGACAAACAUCACUGCACCAGAUGGAGAUGGACCAGUUCCUUACACAGUCUCAUGUCUCGCUGCUGGAACUGAAUACACAUUCACUCUCUUCUCUGUGUUUGAGAACAUUAGAAGCAGUGGACUACAACUUACAGCUGUUACUGCUCCCAAGAAUGCUGAAAACCUCAGACCAGAAGCACAAAAUGAGACCAGUAUCACUCUGCAGUGGAGUAAAGUCAACAACAAUGUUAGCUUUGUUCUCCAGUUUAAUG